rnacentral:rRNA from 1 species
AGUGAACGCUGGCGGUAGGCCUAACACAUGCAAGUCGAACGGCAGCACAGUAAGAGCUUGCUCUUACGGGUGGCGAGUGGCGGACGGGUGAGGAAUACAUCGGAAUCUACUUUUUCGUGGGGGAUAACGUAGGGAAACUUACGAUAAUACCGCAUACUACCUACCGGUGAAAGCAGGGGAUCUUCGCACCUUGCGCGUUUGAAUGAGCCGAUGUCGGACUAGCUAGUUGGGGGGGUAAAGGCCCACCAAGGCGACGAUUCGCAGCUGGACUGAGAGGGUGAUCAGCCACACUGGAACUGGGACACGGUCCAGACUCCUACGGGAGGCAGCAGUGGGGAAUAUUGGGCAAUGGGCGGAAGCCUGACCCAGCCAUACCGCGUGGGUGAAGGAGGCCUUCGGGUUGUAAAACCCUUUUUUUGGGGAAGAAAAGCUGUCGGUUUAAACCCCGCCUUUUUGACGGUACCCAAAGAAUAAGCACCGGCUAACUUCGUG